rnacentral:rRNA from 1 species
AAGUCGAACGAGAAAUUCCAAAACAAACCCUUCGGGGUGCGUUUUGGAAUGGAAAGUGGCGGACGGGCGAGUAACGCGUGAGUAACCUGCCCAUAAGAGGGGGAUAAUCCAUGGAAACGUGGACUAAUACCGCAUAUUGAAUAUUUACCGCAUGGCAGAUAUUUGAAAGAUUUAUCGCUUAUGGAUGGACUCGCGUCAGAUUAGCUAGUUGGUGAGGUAAAGGCUCACCAAGGCGACGAUCUGUAGCCGAACUGAGAGGUUGAUCGGCCGCAUUGGGACUGAGACACGGCCCAGACUCCUACGGGAGGCAGCAGUGGGGAAUAUUGCGCAAUGGGGGGAACCCUGACGCAGCAACGCCGCGUGCAGGAAGAAGGUCUUCGGAUUGUAAACUGUUGUCGCAAGGGAAGAAGACAGUGACGGUACCUUGUGAGAAAGUCACGGCUAACUACGUGCCAGCAGCCGCGGUAAUACGUAGGUGACAAGCGUUGUCCGGAUUUACUGGGUGUAAAGGGCGCGUAGGCGGACUGUCAAGUCAGUCGUGAAAUACCGGGGCUCAACCCCGGGGCUGCGAUUGAAACUGACAGCCUUGAGUAUCGGAGAGGAAAGCGGAAUUCCUAGUGUAGCGGUGAAAUGC